AAGAAACCAGCACCAGCAUCUCCGAGUCCAUCAGAGUUCAACACCAACCAGGAUGCAGCUGAAGAAACCUCCAAUGUAGAAGGCCUGAAUCAACAUGAGACGGCUGCAACUCCCGAUGCACUGAUGGAUACAAGCGAAGAACAAACUGAUACAGUCGAGGCUCUUGACGCUAACACCAGCUCUGAUAGGACGAUUGCUCCCGAACCGACCAACACUUCUUCUUCAGAACAGAGCUUUGACAUUUCAGGUCUACUUUCCUUCGAC